GGCUCCAUAGUGUAGUGGUUAGCAUGUCUGCUUUACACACAGAAGGUCCUGGGUUCGUGCCCCAGGGGCCCCA
rnacentral:tRNA from 1 species